AAUCAACGCUGGCGGCGUGCCUAACACAUGCAAGUCGAACGAGAAAGUGGAGCAAUCCAUGAGUAAAGUGGCGCACGGGUGAGUAACACGUGACUAACCUACCCUUGAGUGGGGGAUAACCUAGGGAAACCUGGGCUAAUACCGCAUAAUACCUACGGGUCAAAGGAGCAAUUCGCUUUAGGAGGGGGUCGCGGCAGAUUAGUUAGUUGGCGGGGUAAUGGCCCACCAAGACGAUGAUCNGUAUCCGGCCUGAGAGGGCGCACGGACACACUGGAACUGAAACACGGUCCAGACUCCUACGGGAGGCAGCAGUGGGGAAUUUUGCGCAAUGGGGGAAACCCUGACGCAGCAACGCCGCGUGGAGGAUGAAGACCCUUGGGUCGUAAACUCCUUUCGAUCGGGACGAUAAUGACGGUACCGGAAGAAGAAGCCCCGGCUAACUUCGUGCCAGCAGCCGCUGUAAC
rnacentral:rRNA from 1 species